UUCCUUUCCAACUCCAGGAGCAGACACGGAUGGGGGGGACAGGAAGUGGGGCCAGCUCAAGGUGGUGAAGGACAACUGACUCAGGUGAAUAAUUCCCAAGAAGCCCUUCUCUCCGUCAGGUCCCACUUUGUACCUCGGUCCACACACCAGACACCACUUGGCUGCUGUCACCACGGGUGCGUGGGGAAGGGAGCUCCAAGUUUCGAAGGGGUGGCAGGUGACAGAGUUGACAAGUAUAACAUGGUGUGAUGCCUGCUAUUGCGGGCUCCAGGAGCGCUGAGGAUGGGUGUUUAACCCUUAAAGGUCGGAUGGAGAGAUGGCUUUCUGGAUGGGAGCAGCAGGGAAGAUUCCCAAGGGAAUGGCCUUGGAGGAAGGGCCCUGCCUGACCCACUGGGUCUCUGGGAGCUGACGUUCCCAUGCCAAGCCGAUCGUCUCGCACGUAACCUUAUCAAAUCCACACAAUGACUUCAGGAUCCAGGUGGGGGUACUGAGGCUCAGAGAAGUAAGAUGACUUGCCCAAGGUCAUGUAGCUCAGAGAGGUGGGACCAAGACUCAACUCUCAGCUAUGGCUCGGAGCGACCAGGACAUACAAGAGUGUUUAAAGCAUGGUCAAUAACAAACCAUGUACAUGUGUUUGGUCUAACUACUUCAUGUAUAUUAACUCAAUCCUUCCCAACAACUUCAAGGGAGGUACUAUGACUAUGCCCAUUUUAUAGUAGAUAAAACUGAGGCUCAGAGAGCAUAAGUGACUUGCCCAAGGUACCUGGCAAGGCCCCUGAAGCCAGGCUCCUGCCACAGCCUGAGCCCUGACGACAGCUGUGUCCUCAUCUCAUGCAUUCUUAUUUACUGUUGCUGGCUUGUCCCUGCCACAGGGCCUCUGCAUUCGACGUCCCCUCGGCCCGAGAUGCCCUUUCCACUGAUUUGCACACCCCUGGCUCAUUCUUACUUGGAUUUCUGUUCCAUUAUCACCUCCUCAGGGAGGACCUCCGGAUCCACCCUAAAGCUCCAUUCUCAUGCCACCCUGCUAUGCCUCGUUCACAGUUUAACACCUGUCGGGCGUUUUGUUUACUGUGUGUCCCCCUCCAG
rnacentral:lncRNA from 10 species